rnacentral:rRNA from 1 species
UACGUAGGGUUCAAGUGUUAUCCGGAAUUAUUGGGCGUAAAGCGUUCGUAGACUGAUAAGCAAGUUAGAUUUAAAAUCUCUAGGCUUAACUUAGAGUUUGGAUCUAAAACUGCUUAUCUUGAGCAUAGUUGGGGCAAGUGGAACUCUCGGUGUAGCAGUGAAAUGCGUUGAUAUCGAGAGGAACACCGAUGGCGCAGGCAGCUUGCUAGGCUAUUGCUGACGUUGAGGAACGAAAGCGUGGGGAGCGAAAGGGAUUAGAUACCCCCGUA